GAUUUGAAAUGCCUUUGUCUAAUAAGUUAUGGAGACUGGGUGUGAUAAACAUUAACUAUUUUUUGUUCACUGGAGAUCAAAUAACUCAAGAUAACAGGAAGUUACUAUGUUACUAUCUAAGCUUAUAGGCAAACAUACCCUUGCCCAUUCCUUUUUUCUCUCUCUACUUGCUUAAUCAGCUUUAAGUUUCAGGAAUUCCUGCUUAGUUACCAUAUAAGGAAGAGGACAACUACAGCCUUCAUCUUUGCGACCACCGAGAGACAGAAAGAGACCCUCCCAGCAACACGUCGCACAUACAUCAUCGGAGGAAAGAAGCAAGAUAAAAGCAAGACUGAAAAACCUGCCAAUUCACGGCAGUUGGCGGAGCGAGACUCCCCCUGUCGUCCAGCGCUGUAUUUGCCUUUGCUUUGCCUGCUGCAAUGUAAUAAAUUCCUGUUGGAACUUUUCUUCGUGUUCAUAGUCUAUUACAGGAGGAGGAAGAGACCCAGAGUAUGUGGCAGAUUGUCUGCUGGCAACAAAGAAGUUGGAAAAUGACAUCCGUGGCCACCCACCGAAGGCCUGGAUAUAAUCGAGAGAGAGCAAAGCCUCUGUACUUUCUGCUCCAUUGAGGAACCCGAAGGGAGAAAGCUGUAAGCGCCACGGAGGUGAAGCUGGAUGUCAGCGUUGAAGGUGACGUGUGCCCGGUGAGCCGUGACCGCUAGCCAGAAGCCGUUGCUGUUGCUGAAGUCUGACUCGGUGGUGCCACUCUAAGCCUCGGCGAUGGUGUGUUUUAAGGAAAGGCUGUGUACUUUGCACGAGAGUGCCUGGUGUCUCCCCCCUCCAAAAGCACCAAGGCCCAGCAUCACUUGUGAUGUGUAGAAGAGCGUCAGAAGACAAAACCUCCCUCACCCCAGGGACUAACUAGAAGAGGAGAGUACCUACCUUUGCCAUCGGGUGGGUUUCAGGAGAGUGAACAGAGGAUGCAAGAGGAGCCAAGUGUGCUUUGAGAGUUUCCUUCUGUUUUGUGUCCCAAGCUUUUUUUCCCAUUCCUUUAGGAGGUGUUAAUAAAAUUAUUCUUUUUCCACAUGGACCUUCCCUUCACGGUAAGUGCUCAGAGUGCCAUUUAUUUCCUCUACAACCACCGCAUUCACUGUUGUUUGUACCCUGUUAUUGGAAUGAAGUGUUCCCACUGUGUCGUGCCAU